rnacentral:rRNA from 1 species
AUUGAACGCUGGCGGCAGGCUUAACACAUGCAAGUCGAGCGGAGAUGAGGUGCUUGCACCUUAUCUUAGCGGCGGACGGGUGAGUAAUGCUUAGGAAUCUGCCUAUUAGUGGGGGACAACAUUCCGAAAGGGAUGCUAAUACCGCAUACGCCCUACGGGGGAAAGCAGGGGAUCUUCGGACCUUGCGCUAAUAGAUGAGCCUAAGUCGGAUUAGCUAGUUGGUGGGGUAAAGGCCUACCAAGGCGACGAUCUGUAGCGGGUCUGAGAGGAUGAGCCGCCACACUGGGACUGAGACACGGCCCAGACUCCUACGGGAGGCAGCAGUGGGGAAUAUUGGACAAUGGGCGGAAGCCUGAUCCAGCCAUGCCGCGUGUGUGAAGAAGGCCUUUUGGUUGUAAAGCACUUUAAGCGAGGAGGAGGCUACCUGGAUUAAUACUCUAGGAUAGUGGACGUUACUCGCAGAAUAAGCACCGGCUAACUCUGUGCCAGCCGCCGCCGUAAGAC